AAUUUGAUCUGAAAUCAGGCGGACUUUUUUUAAAUUUGAUCUGAAAUCAGGCAA
rnacentral:rRNA from 1 species